ensembl:lncRNA
ACAAUGAAUAAUGUAGACUAGUUGUUGAGGGUGCAAUUUAGUACAUUGUCGUUGGAAGAUAAAUUCGAAAUUAAACGUUUGGGGCCACACAAAAGGAUUAAGCCAUUCACAAGAAAAACGAUGGGACAGCAGAGACUGAACGCCCUCUCCAUGCUUUCCAUUGAAAACCCGUUUGUUCAUGGACUGGUGGAUUUUAACAGCAAAGUCAUCGAGAGGUUUGCUCAAGCAAAGAACCACCGCGCCAACUUCCUAUUUAAGUGAUCUGCAUUGCUUGCAUGCUACACAUGCCCACACUCACUCAUCGGACUACCCACAAUCCUCCCUGCGUGCGAGUGUGUGUGUGUGUGUGUGUGUGUGUGUGUGUGUGUGUGUGUGUGUGUGUGUGUGUGUGUGUGUGUGUAGGGCAGCCGGCACCUGGGCAGAGGCUCAGUGGAGCUCUCCAAACACAGCUGUUCUCCAGAACCCAGAGCCACGCCGGCGCCGGCAGGGGUACACGCCGAGCCAUGUUGGGCCUGGAAUACUGCCGCCGCCGCAGCCGAUCGGACUCGCGGAGAAUGCUUGUCUGGCAGUGGAUCCGCGUGCCGACGGGCAAUCAUACAGGACAAGCUCUUCCCCAGCCUCCCCUGUGACCACACCAAAGGAUUACUGUCAUCAAAGUCUGACUGAGAAGAGGAUGUGUUAACUCACUUCGGUAAGCGUGUGUGUGUGUGCUGUGUGUGUGUGUGUGUGUGUGUGUGUGUGUGUGUGUGUGUGCUGUGCC